UAUAAGAGUGUGGAGCUUUGUUUAACGCAACUCCAAACAAAGUAAGAACUCAAGCUCCGCUUGAUGUACGCACUUAACAAAAUUCAAAACUAAACAACCCCUGUCUCGGCAGGCUCUUGUGGAGUCCACUGCAACCAAGAAAGCGGCUGAUUCGGCAAAAGAUGGAGACUUUGGCCGUGAUCAUGUUGCUUGUGCACUAAAGGUUGAAACUUGACAAGGUUCUCGUGAACAAAAGUUUUGGGUCCUUCAGAAUCAUUGGUGGUCACGUCUUUCUGCUGCUGGAUGGGAAGAACCGCUUUGCGAGUGGCGUCUGAGGCUGCAAACUGUGGACGAGGGUAAAAGAAAUCAGUGGGGAAGAAGUUGUACUGAAAGCCAGCCAUUUCUGAAAGUUCCCAAAGUCGAUGUAAAAUGUUUAGGAGUUAAGAAAGCACUGGCUGAGAAGAGGAGAAAACGCACCUAAUCUUUGUCUUAUGGAUAUACCUCUCACAACUUCACGUCUACUUAUAUAGAGGAGGAGAGUUUGCAUGAUUGGAAGUUGCUGCAUCGUGCCUUUCAACAUCCUAUAGUUGGAAUGACUGUUUCGAAAGCUUGAACAAGAAGUUCCACAUUUCUUUUCCGGGCAGGAGUUAGUUUUGCAACAACCUGUUGAAGUGCAUAAUCAAGCAUCCAGUCCUCAGAAUUUUUUCUCUGAUCCAUCUCUUGAUGCCUUAAAUGAACUUUUUCACCUUCAGGGUCUGGCUCCAAAGGCAGAUAACGAGGCCCCUUUGGAUUAAAUUCCCUUACUUUUUCCAAUGCCUUGAUGAAUCUUUUAAGCAAGAUCCACUUUUUCAGAGUGCUCCAGCUACUUGGCAUUUCCUUGUUUGAUUUCUUUCCCCCAUUCAACUUGGUUUUCUCUUUUUCUUGGGUACUGAUAUUACCAGAUGUAAGCCAUUUUUCUCCUGGAGCUGUUCUGUGGGAUUCCAUGACACUGUUCUUGCAAUUUGAGAUGAAUGGUUUUCCUCCCUCACCCACUUUCUCUUCUGAGAGUCCCUUGUCUCGAAUCAUCUCACUAGUGCUAAAUUCAUCAUUAGUUGAGUGGUCCUGAAUUUCCGGAAGAAGGAUUUCAUCAAUCGCCUCUUCUACCAGCUUAAUGGCUUCAGUUCGGUGGAGAUCAACCUUUUGCUCAUCUGCUUCAUUAUCCCGGUCCAUAUCUUGAUUCAUUUCUGAGAAGUUUUGACUUAAACUGGAAAUGCCCAUUUCUGGCAAUGAGUUGGCAUCAUCCACUGGUUCUUCUUUAUCUGCUUCAUUGAGAUGUACUGUUUGAGAGUUCUGAACUUGGAGUAAUUACUUUGGAGGCUUUUCCAUUCUCUCCAACUUCUUCAUGACAGGUGCUUACAAUGUUCUCUGGCUUCAAGGAGAAUUUAUUACAUGAGCUGGGAUCUUUGAUCUCUGAUGAACAACUAAUGAUGGAAUCGGGUUGACCUUCAGUGAGAAGUAAUUUGCUGUCGACCAUAUCAAUAUUGAUGGCAACAGUUUGCUUUUCCUUCGAGUCUUCACCAGUGUCUUGACAGUCCGUUAUAUGUUGUUCUGCUUUAAUGGAACAACAUUCCAAAGUUGUUUCUGUGAGCUCAGAAAAUUUCAUUGCAGGUAGCUGUUUGUUCGUGAGAAAAUCAUUGGCUUGGUCUGGAUAACCUUGGAAUAUUUCAGCUGACUCUUCAUAAUUACUUUCUUGACCUGCUCCUCCUGUGCUUUGAGUUGAAGAACCAUUACUGGCUUGAAUGGGAUUUGCUCGAGUACAAAUUGCUGCAUUGGAGCUCUGGCUAAUUUCGAUUUCUGACAGUGGAAGAACUGUCUCAAAAGCUUCUACAAGCAGCGCUACUUUUUGUUUUUGAGCUGGAGCUAGUUUAGAAAUGACCUGUUGAAGUGCACUAUCAAGCAUCCAUUCCUCGGUGUUUUUUCUCUUGUCUGUUGUUUGGUGCCUUAGAUGGACUUUUACUGCUUCUGGGUCAGGCUUCAAGGACAGAUAUCGUGGCCCCCGGGGGUUGAAAUCUCCCACCUUCUCCAAUGCCUUCACAAAUUUCUUGAGGAUGAUCAACUUUUUCAAAUAGCUCCAGCUCUUGGGCAUUUUCUGGUCAGAUUCACUUUUCACAUUUGAUGCUGUUCUCUCCUCCAUGGGAGUGCUAUUACUAUCAGCUUUGAGCCAUGUUUCUUCUGGCUCCUGUACCAUACUGUCUCUAGCAGGCUCACUGUAAGCUGAGAUGCUCCAUUCCUGGCACUCACCAUGACUCUUUUCUAAGAGGUCGUGGUCUGAACUGAUGCUACUAGCAAUUGAUUGAUCCUCCAUUGAGCGGUCUUGAAAUUCUUGCAGAAGGAUAUCAUCAAAUGCUUUUUGUACCAGCUGAAUGGCAUCAAUCUGGCUGAGCUCAUUCUUUUGGUGGUUUGCAUCAUGAUUUUCCUUGACCAUGUCCUUGCCAAUUUCAGAAAAGCCCUCAGAAGAACCGCAGUCAUUAGUACCAAGCAAGGUGCUUGUAUCUUCCACCUGUUCUUCAUCCAAUCCAUCUAGUGGAACCUGGUUUCCAACUUUUCUA